rnacentral:rRNA from 1 species
AAUCCAUAGGUUAAUGAGGCGAACCGGGGGAACUGAAACAUCUAAGUACCCCGAGGAAAAGAAAUCAACCGAGAUUCCCCCAGUAGCGGCGAGCGAACGGGGAGGAGCCCAGAGCCUGAAUCAGCAUGUGUGUUAGUGGAAGCGUCUGGAAAGGCGCGCGAUACAGGGUGACAGCCCCGUACACAAAAGCGCAUGUGCUGUGAGCUCGAUGAGUAGGGCGGGACACGUGGUAUCCUGUCUGAAUAUGGGGGGACCAUCCUCCAAGGCUAAAUACUCCUGACUGACCGAUAGUGAACCAGUACCGUGAGGGAAAGGCGAAAAGAACCCCGGCGAGGGGAGUGAAAAAGAACCUGAAACCGUGUACGUACAAGCAGUGGGAGCCCCACCACUAAGCCAGUGGUGAACUCCACAUACGCAUCCUUUGCUGAGGAUACGGUUAACGGAGCGAAAGCGACGUUCAACCGCAAAAGAAGCAGAGGGGGCUUAGUGGUGGGGUGACUGCGUACCUUUUGUAUAAUGGGUCAGCGACUUAUAUUCUGUAGCAAGGUUAACCGAAUAGGGAAGCCGGAGGGAAACCGAGUCUUAACCGGGCGUUAAGUUGCAGGGUAUAGACCCGAAACCCGGUGAUCUAGCCAUGGGCAGGUUGAAGGUUGGGUAACACUAACUGGAGGACCGAACCGACUAAUGUUGAAAAAUUAGCGGAUGACCUGUGGCUGGGGGUGAAAGGCCAAUCAAACCGGGAGAUAGCUGGUUCUCCCCGAAAGCUAUUUAGGUAGCGCCUCGUGAAUUCAUCUCCGGGGGUAGAGCACUGUUUCGGCUAGGGGGCCAUCCCGGCUUACCAACCCGAUGCAAACUGCGAAUACCGGAGAAUGUUAUCACGGGAGACACACGGCGGGUGCUAACGUCCGUCGUGAAGAGGGAAACAACCCAGACCGCCAGCUAAGGUCCCAAAGUCAUGGUUAAGUGGGAAACGAUGUGGGAAGGCCCAGACAGCCAGGAUGUUGGCUUAGAAGCAGCCAUCAUUUAAAGAAAGCGUAAUAGCUCACUGGUCGAGUCGGCCUGCGCGGAAGAUGUAACGGGGCUAAACCAUGCACCGAAGCUGCGGCAGCGACGCUGAUGCGUUGUUGGGUAGGGGAGCGUUCUGUAAGCCUGUGAAGGUGGCCUGUGAGGGUUGCUGGAGGUAUCAGAAGUGCGAAUGCUGACAUAAGUAACGAUAAAGCGGGUGAAAAGCCCGCUCGCCGGAAGACCAAGGGUUCCUGUCCAACGUUAAUCGGGGCAGGGUGAGUCGACCCCUAAGGCGAGGCCGAAAGGCGUAGUCGAUGGGAAACGGGUUAAUAUUCCCGUACUUGGUGUUACUGCGAAGGGGGGACGGAGAAGGCUAUGUUGGCCGGGCGACGGUUGUCCCGGUUUAAGCGUGUAGGUGUGUGUUCCAGGUAAAUCCGGUUCACUUUAACACUGAGGCGUGAUGACGAGGCACUACGGUGCUGAAGCAACAAAUGCCCUGCUUCCAGGAAAAGCCUCUAAGCAUCAGGUAACAUCAAAUCGUACCCCAAACCGACACAGGUGGUCAGGUAGAGAAUACCAAGGCGCUUGAGAGAACUCGGGUGAAGGAACUAGGCAAAAUGGUGCCGUAACUUCGGGAGAAGGCACGCUGACACGUAGGUGAAGUGAUUUACUCAUGGAGCUGAAGUCAGUCGAAGAUACCAGCUGGCUGCAACUGUUUAUUAAAAACACAGCACUGUGCAAACACGAAAGUGGACGUAUACGGUGUGACGCCUGCCCGGUGCCGGAAGGUUAAUUGAUGGGGUCAGCGCAAGCGAAGCUCCUGAUCGAAGCCCCGGUAAACGGCGGCCGUAACUAUAACGGUCCUAAGGUAGCGAAAUUCCUUGUCGGGUAAGUUCCGACCUGCACGAAUGGCGUAAUGAUGGCCAGGCUGUCUCCACCCGAGACUCAGUGAAAUUGAACUCGCUGUGAAGAUGCAGUGUACCCGCGGCAAGACGGAAAGACCCCGUGAACCUUUACUAUAGCUUGACACUGAACAUUGAGCCUUGAUGUGUAGGAUAGGUGGGAGGCUUUGAAGUGUGGACGCCAGUCUGCAUGGAGCCGACCUUGAAAUACCACCCUUUAAUGUUUGAUGUUCUAACGUGGACCCGU